rnacentral:misc_RNA from 1 species
AUUUCAAGAGACGAAAAUCUGGGUCUGUUGGUCAGUAUCGGGGAUGCUGCGGUCCACGCAGCAUCCCUCUUGCUCGUAAAGUAAUUUUUCAUAAUCCAACAGUUUGUAACAGUUCUCGACCGUCGUGACAAACUACAUUACUCGGCUCAUAAACAAAUUUUUAUUACUCGUUUCGAUACGUUUCGACACCAGUAAAAUAUAAUUUCUUUGGACGAUUUGAUCGUAAAGUAUUUUAUGUGUAAAGUUUUACGGUUCUGUACAAUUUAGUGUUUGGAAAAAUUGAAGAAACAGUGACUUCGAUGAUCGUUCUACAUCUCCGUUACUAUAAUGGCAGAACGCGAGUGGAGAACAGAGGAGGCCGGAUAAUAGCCACGGAGGAACCGGAAAGCAUAAACCCGCGCAAAAGUAGGAGCCACUUCAAGCGUUUUCUGCGGCACGACCCUCCCGAAAAUUAUCCCCGGUCGACCUGGCCAGACACGUCCUACCCUAACACGAAAUAAGGAAUAUUCUUCAUCCAUACAAUUCACUUAGAAAAAGAGGUUUGCAAGUUAAUAAGAAGAGGAAGAAGCUACGGGGGAAACAUAGAAAAGAAAAACCGAAAAAACAUUGCUUACGGUCUCAAAAAUGACAAAAAUGAUUAGACAAAUUUUAGAAGUGACAAGAAUGAGCAGAAAAAUUGUAAAAAUAACGAGGACGACUAACAAAAUGCUUUUUAUAGCUUCUUUGAAGAAUACACAAGACUUUGGUAAAAAGAAAAUUCAGUGCGUGGCUCCUUAUGAUACGGAAGUUUGUCUAUAACUUGGAAAAGUAAAUACAAGGAAACAAAAUACCUUCUAAAUACAUAUGGAUAACGCAUACAACUCGAAAGUGAGAUUUAAAAUAACGUAUAUUUGAUGAGACAUUGCAGCACUUAGAAAAAAGGAAAUAAAAAUUACGACAAAACAAGUUCAUCUUUAGAUUGAAAAAUCAAUGCAAUAUUUAACGUAUACAGACACAAGACAAAGGUUCUUUAAACUUUGAUGAUUAUUUUGCCGCUCUGAACAAUUUAAACAAAUUACAAUCAACAAACAAGUUAAAAUAACUGGAUUUUUUAUUUCAAAUUAAAACGACAGAAGCAAUAAGUAAAACUUUGAGAAAAUUCGAGGCGAUAUUUACAACAACGAAAAGAACUUUAUUUGAUGCAACGCCAUUGCAUAAAUUGUGGUUGUGCAACUUACAGAAUUGCCACGCCCCUGUGCUGCAACCUUAACUUCCGACACCACCUAUAAUAAACCCUUUAAACUCCCAUGUGCAUCGCAUACUCCUCCUUUCUCCCGUCCCCUGUAUUCAGGGUUGUCCAAAGUUCGAAGUUCUUUCGACGGUCAGAACUUUUUCCGUUUCAUAAACUGGCCCCGGUACAAUCCCUGACAAAGUUUCUUUCAUAGUACAGAAUCGUUUCGAAAUUGCUACAUCGUACCCUCUUCGUGGAAUUUCAAAUAAAUUGUUGUAGACAGAAACAA